GGCAUGGUGGCUUAGUGGUUAGCACUGUUGCCUCGUACCUCCAGGGGUUGGGGGUUCGAGUCCCGCCUCUACCC